GUUGAUGUGGGAACUCAAGUCAGUAAAGCAUGAGACUCUUAAUCUCAGGGUCAUGGGUUCAAGCCCCAUGUUUGGCA